rnacentral:lncRNA from 1 species
GCUUCACAACAGAACACACCCAAUUAUGCAAACCCUCACCAGAGGGAACAUGCAACCUUUACAGACAAGGAUAUUUGAGAUGCCUCUGCUAUGAAGUGCUAAGUUACGGAUGGUUCAAUGGGACUGAUCAGCCUCUCAACACCAGUGUGCUGCAAUAACAGGGUUGUCUGGCUCAAACGGGAAAUAUAAUUUGGCCCCUGAGGCAACCCACAGGCACGGCAGGUGGAAGGUGUAUCGCGAUGCCAGCUUCCCUCUUCCAGAAUAUGGAGAAGAUCUCACGGUCCCACAGCAGUGUGCUGAUGACCCAUAUGGCGUCAAUGCAGUAGUGGUGAUUGCUGACAGAUCCUUCCCCCUCUGGAGGCAUCCGCCGUUUCCCAUCCCUGUCUCAGACACCAGGGCCUUGCCAGAACUUCCCCAUGGGACUGUGGAUGAGAGUCAGAUUCACAGAGAGGACGUGGAUGAGAGUCAGAUUCACAGACAGGACGUGGAUGUCUCAAGGGCAGUUCCUCAGCUCUCCAGCCCCACUAUAUCACCUGCCAUGAGGGCCACUGCUGGUGGUUCAGCUGCUGCCCUCCUAAGCCCAAAUACUACUGAAGGAGUGGAGCCAUUGGCAGUGUCUGUGGAAACUGGCCAGGCCUGUGAGAUAGUCCAGCCCAUGGAGUCAGUGGAGGAAGAGGACGAAGACGUACAACAAAGGGGAGGGCGGAGAGACGGCAAAAAGAGACGCAAAAAAUCACAGCGUCAUAAAAGGCGCCGUUAAUGGGCUACACCCAUCCUUAUGCAAGAUGCUAUGUAUUUGUCAGGAUUGUGCCUUGUCCUUUUCUUGUGCUUGUACUUUGUAUCCCUUCCGUGCCCUUAUGUUACUUCCUGUUUGCCAUUUGUUUACUUCCUGUGUAUAGUCCUUUGUGCCGGUUCCUGCCAUGUGCUCCAGUGUUUACCCUUUACCUGUGUUCCUGUUCUGUGUACCUGUGUCUCCACCCCUCACCUGUUCCCAUUUAGUAGUCUUGUUAAUUCCCUUGUUUAGUUCACCUGUGUCUUGUUAUCUGGUUUACCCUCUUGUAAACCCUUGUCUUCCCCUCUGUCUUUACCGGUCUGUUUUGCAUUAUAUGUGCUGUAUGGGUUGUUCUGCCUGAUUAAGAUUAAAAACCUUUUUUUUUCGUCAAAUCGUGUGUGUGUAUUUUGGUCCUGCACCGUAGAAGAACCGAGACAGACC